GAGCCUAGAUGUCGAGGAGGUUCUAGAAAGGAUUGAUAGAAAUUUGAACGAAAUGUCCUGUUAUCGCAGGCUUGGGCACUGCAUAGUUGAUUCAUUUGAACGAAAGUUAUGGAGUAACGUUGCGGGAGAUGCUACGGUACACACCCCAGUUCCAUAUGCACCCUUAUAACCAAAUCAUUGAGAGGCGUAACCAAACCAUUAAGAGGCGUAACCCUAUUUUGUAAAAUGUUAUGCCUCUUAAUGGUUUGGUUAUGCCUCUCAAUGAUUUGGUUAUGCCUCUCAGUGGUUUGAUUAUACAGGUGCAUAUGGUACGGGGUGGGUACCGUAGCAUUCCCCAUAGGUUGUAGAUGGAGAGAUGCUGGUAUUUAGAGAUUUGGUCUCAGUCUUGUUUGGUGCCUUGCUGCUUUGCUGUUUCUCUGUAGUUAGGCUUAGUUUUGUUUGGAGCUUGCUCCCAUGUUUGAAUUUUUCAGGCUUUCAAGGAUAUACCCUUGGCCUUCUGUUCUUGGUGUGUUUUCUGAAUAAGAUUAAACUUACCAAUAAACGAAAUGACAUUUUUUAUGUGGACGCCAAACUUAACUGACCUAAAUAAGACGUGAGAGAAGUCAUUGAAGAUGGAUUUCUGGGGAAAAAAGCUCAUGGGCUUGAAAAAUAUGUUCCUCUUCAUUCAUAGAAAACAAUCAAACUAAUACAAAAAACCUGUGAACAUGCAUAGCAUAGAGCCACAAAAUUCCUCUGGAAAACAAAUCACUUUGUUAUACAAAAGAGCGAAAUAAUGCAUGAAACAGGAUAUGCUUCGAUUACGACCAAGGCAUCCGAUCCCCAAACCAUGAAGUGGUCAUCUUACUCAUUUAUUCUAUUCUCUUCAGUUAACUAGGUACCAGCGCAUUCUCACCUAUAAAGUGUGAUUCUAAUUGCUUUCAGUAUACGCAACUCUAGUCUUUUUCUAUAAAUAUCUCAUGUUUCUGGCCAGACUAAUACUCAACUGAGUCGAGUGAGUAAGAUACACAUUUUCCAUUGUCUUUGUUGGAAGGUGUGGUUGAAGAGCUAAUAAGCAAUGGCAUCAAUGAAGGCUGAAAAAUCCGUAGGCACUCAGCUAUUUGGGCAGGCCAAGAAGGAGCCUGCAGCAGCCAAGGAUGGUGCACCCAAGGCUUCGGGCAGCUCUAAGUCUGGCUCCAAAAAGGCUGCCCCUAAAACUAGUUCAGAACCUAAGAAGAAGGCAAAGAGUGGAAAAUCAGCAGCGAAGCACUAACAUACAUGAUGCCGGAGACUGGUCAUUUGCGUAAAGGGAGAAAUGCUAAGAUCUUCUUAUAGAUGAUCUGGAUACAUGUUUCCCUUUUGAUGUUUCUUUUGUUUUCUGGUUUUCGGAUUUUCAUUAAUGUAAUCGUGUGGCCAUAGGACUUGGCAUUACCUUGUAAGUUAGCUAGCUUGGAUUGGCUUGGAGUCUUGGACUAAGAAAUAAAGAUAGAUAUUUGAAAAA